rnacentral:rRNA from 1 species
UACGUAGGGUGCAAGCGUUAAUCGGAAUUACUGGGCGUAAAGCGUGCGCAGGCGGUUCUCCAAGUCCGUUGUGAAAGCCCCGGGCUUAACCUGGGAACUGCAUUUGUGACUGCAUAGCUAGAGUACGGUAGAGGGGGAUGGAAUUCCGCGUGUAGCAGUGAAAUGCGUAGAUAUGCGGAGGAACACCGAUGGCGAAGGCAAUCCCCUGGACCUGUACUGACGCUCAUGCACGAAAGCGUGGGGAGCAAACAGG